rnacentral:lncRNA from 1 species
GCAGAUAAAAGUCUUACAUAAACCCUAUAUUUUCACAUUUUCCUUCCCAAUUUGUCCUCAUCUCCUAUUACAUCUCCGUAUAUCUACAUCAGUUUCUUCAUCUGAAGAGUUGCCUUUCAAUCUUUGAAUCUCUACAGCCACGAAUCUCUACAGCCACGUGUUCUGAAUUGAAGGCCACAUUGAAUUUGAUUUAGUGUUCCAAAUUGAAGGCCGAUUGAAUAUGCUCAGAACAUGGUCGCUUCAGAUUCUAAGGGAAAUUGAAUGCGGGCGUUCAAGGCUUGGAACGUUUGGGAUUAAAGCUGAAAUUGCAAUCAUAUAUUCAUCACACAUUUUUUCUCCACUCCUAUGUGAAACCUUCUGACUCUCAAGGUUGAAGAUUCAAUGUGUGCGGCGGUGGUGGUUGUGUUGGUCGUUCACUGAUUCAAGAUAAUUCCACCCAAAUUCUCCGUUUAGGGUUUAGUUACCUCUCGCUCGGGUGCGUUUUGAUGAUAAUUGCCUUCUGGGAGCACUAAAUACACUUAUUCAUGAUAGUGGCUUUGGUAGAGGAAAACUUGUGUGUCCUUUUUGUUUAGGUACUGGUUUACCCAAAAAUAAAAGGGCUUCUUCUGAGGCUUGAUGCCAAAGAGUUGCUGAAUAAGAUGUAUAAUGGGUGGUUAGAUCCAAACUCAAAGUAUACUCACGUGACCCAGCCAACACCAUGCAAUAAUGUUAAAAUCAAAAACCAGUGGAAGCUAUAGAUUUGAACCCGAGACCUCUGCUAAGGGAACUCCUUACCACUGUGCCGCCCCCUAGAAGGCUAUAUAUAUCGUUGGUCUAUUUGACCCUAAAAAGUCAAAUUUUACUCUAGGGAAUAGCGGUUGCGCGCAUUUUAUUUUUGAUAUUAUCUCUUUCUUCUUCACAUGUAGCAUAGGCUCCAAGGUUACUCUUGAAUACGGUGUGUAAGCCUGCAAAAACUUGCAUAUAUAGAAGCCACUCUAGAUACAUUUUUAACUUGAGGAUAGGUGAACUGCUGAUACUUUUCUAAAAAUUUUGAGGACUAGCUUUGGCCUUUGAUAGUUCAUAUGAUUCUGCAGUUAAAGAACGAGAAUUUGUUGUGAUUACAUGGUUUUCACAUUUUGGGCAAUGAAUUCACUCAUUUAAAGGGACUCCAUAUGAGAAAAAACUAAUCUUUACAAGGGUAUUUAUGUCCAUAUAACACUUGCCAUUAAAGUGUAGAAGUUUAUCCACUUUUGACAUGGUUUUCGGUUAUCCACUUUUGGUUCUCCUGUGAAAAUAGGUCCACCUUGACAAGGUACGUUUCUUUUUACUCAUUUGGCCUCUUACUUACCUUAGUCGGUUUCAUCGUAGCUGCAAAAAAAUAUAUUUAUCCAAGUCCGAAUAAAAUUUAUUUAUCUAUCCAUGAUUCUCUUGCCUCACAAUCAGUCAUUUUUGUCUAUUUUAUUAAAGGUCUGGGUUACAGUUACUUUCCAAAUGCACACUCAAUCAAUUUUUAAAAAUACACUUUUUUGCAAGUUUUGUCCCACAGAAAUGAAAAGUUACAAUAUGCACAAAGUCAACUGCUUUUUCAACGCAAACCAAUUUUUCUUAUGGAGGUGGUAUGAACAUACCAAUUAGCAAACCAUUGGGUAGUUCUGUAAUUAGGAAUGGGAUCAUGGGUGUUUCUGAUGAUGUGUUACAGGGUGGUAAUAUGGAGUUAGUGGGACCCGGAGUUACGGUAGCGGCAGUUGGGUCGCCUGUGGUUUUGUUCGUGAUACAUCUUCGGUUUCGUCUUUGCCUAAAGACUACGAAUGAUUAAGAACCAAGAAUUCGCUGCCCGAUCACAGGCUUGAAACUGGGUUUUUAUAAAGUGCGCCUAAGGCGGCGGCAUUGUUCUUGUGGUUGCAAAGAAAGCUCAUAGUCUUUUUGUUAGUGGAGCAAGUAUAGUUGCCAAGGUUACAAGGGACCAUGCGUUGCAAAACUAUAACUUUGAUGAAACUGCUGAAAAUAUGCAUAGAAACUUUGGAUCUGGGUAUCCCGGAGAUCCCAGCACUAAAGGUUGGUUAGAACAUCACAAGCACUCGGUAUUUGGUUUCCCAUCAUUGGUUCGCUUCAGUUGGGAUACAUGUGAAUCCUACUUCAAAGGUGGUGUUGAAGUGUUAUCGAUUCGCUGCCCGAUCACAGUCUUUUACGCUAGGUUUAAUAUAUGUCAAAAAAUAGGAACACCUUUUUAGAGUAGUUUAUAAAAGUAUUUGGGCUAAACAUAUAGAUAAGGCGGUUCAAACCUAUGCUCGACCUGCUUACCCAUGUGUUUCUUGGUUCGAAUCGAAACCUAAAUCCCUGCGUCUAAUAUGAAAUAAUGAACGGAACAAUUUUACUACCUCUCAUAAAAUAUUCAUUGAACAUGGGUGCCCACCCUUUUAUUAUUCUUUAUUAUGUUGACUAUGCUCUCUAGCCAUUUAAACCGUCAUAGAAGCUCAUAAAAUAAGAGACUAUGAACAUCGAGAUCCCAACACUUGAGGCUUGUUAUUUUUCCCUAAAUUAAUUUCAUAGAGAAACUUUUUUUUA